rnacentral:rRNA from 1 species
CUACGGGUGGCUCCAGUGGGGAAUAUUGCACAAUGGGCGCAAGCCUGAUGCAGCAACGCCGCGUGAGGGAUGAAGGCCUUCGGGUUGUAAACCUCUUUUGGCAGGGAAGAAGCGAAAGUGACGGUACCUGCAGAAAAAGCACCGGCUAACUACGUGCCAGCAGCCGCGGUAAUACGUAGGGUGCAAGCGUUGUCCGGAAUUAUUGGGCGUAAAGAGCUCGUAGGCGGUUUGUCACGUCUGCUGUGAAAAUCCAAGGCUCAACCUUGGACUUGCAGUGGGUACGGGCAGGCUGGAGUGCGGUAGGGGAGAUGGGAAUUCCUGGUGUAGCGGUGGAAUGCGCAGAUAUCAGGAGGAACACCAAUGGCGAAGGCACAUCUCUGGGCCGUAACUGACGCUGAGGAGCGAAAGCGUGGGGAGCGAACAGGAUUAGAUACCCGCGUAGUC